AUUGCGGCAUGCAGUCUGGUCUUCAACGAAGAGUUUUGACACCUGUAAUACCCAUAUUUCUACCAUUCACCUCUGUAACCUUUGUUGAGUUCAUCAGACUGUCACUAGGCAACACUAAAGAUUUCCACUUAUUGCUUUUCUGUCCAAGACAGGAAGUUGAGGAACAAAGUUGACAGGACAUCCUGAACUGUCUUCGCUACCAGCUUAUGAGGGAACCAGCUGCAGUGGACAAAGUAUGUUACAUCAUAGGAUAAUAGCAUUGAAUUGGAUUCUUGAACCAGAGCCAUGUGAACCUGGUCCACCUGUACCUCUCAUUGAAGACCUGUUAACAUCACCAGAGUAUGUUCAUUCUGAUACCCCUAUGGUAUGGUUACAGCAUGCAUUAUCCCUGAAUCCAUUAAAAGAGCUGCAUUGGCAAUGAAACAACCCAAUGUGGUCAAUUGUAAGGAAACAUAGCAUAUCAGCUUCCAACUUUGGUGCAGUUCUCAGUUCUAAGCAAAGGAGAUUGACAUUGUCACUGAAGAAACAGCUGAUGUCGGCUUACAAUCUGGAGUCCAUCAAGGCUGUUGCAUGGGGUAUCACUCAUGAAGAUGAUGCUUUGAGAAAGUAUGAAAAGGACUUUGAUGCAGCUGUAGAGCAGUCAGGAUAUGGUUGCAUGAAUCCGGAGUGUUGGGAGCUUCACCUGAUGGCUUAGUUGUUCGACCACCAACAUGCAGUGUAUUUUAUCAAACUCCAGAAGCCAAAGACGCCAUUCCUGAUAUUGUAGAGGUGAAGUGUCCAUAUACAGCAUCGUCUUCAACAGUAGCAGAUGGGGCACAAAAUUUGAAGGAUUUUUCAUAGAUCUUAAACAAGAUACCCUGUGCCUGAAAACCAGUCACCCG